rnacentral:rRNA from 1 species
GAUGAACGCUGGCGGCGUGCCUAUUACAUGCAAGUCGAGCGAAUGGAUUAAGAGCUUGCUCUUAUGAAGUUAGCGGCGGACGGGUGAGUAACACGUGGGUAACCUGCCCAUAAGACUGGGAUAACUCCGGGAAACCGGGGCUAAUACCGGAUAACAUUUUGAACCGCAUGGUUCGAAAUUGAAAGGCGGCUUCGGCUGUCACUUAUGGAUGGACCCGCGUCGCAUUAGCUAGUUGGUGAGGUAACGGCGCACCAAGGCAACGAUGCGUAGCCGACCUGAUAGGGUGAUCGGCCACACUGGGACUGAGACACGGCACAGUCUCCUACGGGAGGUAGCGGUAGGGAAUCUUCCGCAAUGGACGAAAGUCUGACGGAGAAACGCCGCGUGAGUGAUGAAGGCUUUCGGGUCGUAAAACUCUGUUGUUAGGGAAGAACAAGUGCUAGUUGAAUAAGCUGGCACCUUGACGGUACCUAACCAGAAAGCCACGGCUAACUACGUGCCAGCAGCCGCGGUAA